GGAGAGGUGGGUGAGUGGCUGAAACCAGCUGUUUGCUAAAUAGCCGUGCGAUUUAAAUCGCACCGAGGGUUCGAAUCCCUCCCUCUCCGCCA
rnacentral:tRNA from 1 species